rnacentral:rRNA from 1 species
UACGAAGGGGGCUAGCGUUGUUCGGAAUUACUGGGCGUAAAGGGCGCGUAGGCAGUGCCUCAAGUCAGGCGUGAAAGCCCCGGGCUCAACCUGGGAACCGCGCUUGAGACUGGAGUACUAGAGUUCGGGAGAGGAUGGUGGAAUUCCCAGUGUAGAGGUGAAAUUCGUAGAUAUUCGGAAGAACACCAGUGGCGAAGGCGGCGUCACUGGCCCGUUACCG